rnacentral:rRNA from 1 species
GUUGUGGUUAAAAGCUCGUAGUUGACCUUGGGCCUGGCUGGCCGGUCCGCCUCACCGCGUGUACUGGUCCGGCCGGGCCUUUCCCUCUGUGGAACCCCAUGCCCUUCACUGGGUGUGGCGGGGAAACAGGACUUUUACUUUGAAAAAAUUAGAGUGCUCCAGGCAGGCCUAUGCUCGAAUACAUUAGCAUGGAAUAAUAGAAUAGGACGUGUGGUUCUAUUUUGUUGGUUUCUAGGACCGCCGUAAUGAUUAAUAGGGACAGUCGGGGGCAUCAGUAUUCAAUUGUCAGAGGUGAAAUUCUUGGAUUUAUUGAAGACUAACUACUGCGAAAGCAUUUGCCAAGGAUGUUUUCAUUAAUCAGGAACGAAAGUUAGGGGAUCGAAGACGAUCAGAUACCGUCGUAGUCUUAACCAUAAACUAUGCCGACUAGGGAUCGGACGAUGUUAUUUUUUGACUCGUUCGGCACCUUACGAGAAAUCAAAGUGCUUGGGCUCCAGGGGGAGUAUGGUCGCAAGGCUGAAACUUAAAGAAAUUGACGGAAGGGCACCACCAGGGGUGGAGCCUGCGGCUUAAUUUGACUCAACACGGGGAAACUCACCAGGUCCAGACACAAUGAGGAUUGACAGAUUGAGAGCUCUUUCUUGAUUUUGUGGGUGGUGGUGCAUGGCCGUUCUUAGUUGGUGGAGUGAUUUGUCUGCUUAAUUGCGAUAACGAACGAGACCUUAACCUGCUAAAUAGCCCGUAUUGCUUUGGCAGUACGCUGGCUUCUUAGAGGGACUAUCGGCUCAAGCCGAUGGAAGUUUGAGCAUAACAGUCUGUGAUGCCCUUUAGAUGUCUGGGCCGCACGCGCGCUACACUGAC